CUCGCCAGAUGCGGCCAUUGUUAAGUCAGCCGGCUGUCAGCGCGCGAGGACCCCGGGGCACGAGCAACGCCCCCUCCUCCCCUCCUGGCCUGUGCGCGGCCCCCACCGCAGGUGGAGGGGAGGCCGGGGCCCCCGACCCCCGUGAGUCCUACAGCGGCAGGCCCGGCCCCGCAGCAGUGGUCCAUUCUCCCUGCCCUUCCCCCUGGGUGCCGUCUUUUGACUUCUGGCGACCUACGACUCAUCUGUGCGUGCCAGGCUCUGAGGCCCUGCCCUGCCCGCCCCGUGGAGCCUACACCCUGGUUCUGGGCAGCACACAAGAGCAAGGCACUGAAUAAAUGCGUGCAUUUCUGCAGGACGUGGUCCAAGGUGCUGGAAACUUCCUAGCAAGACAUUCGCCAGCCUUGGGACCUCGAGGCUGAACAGACUUUGCAGAGCCACUCUAGGGAGAGAAGGAAAAUGUGCUUCCCACUCCCUGACCCCUCUCCACGCCUUGGGCAAAAUUUCCCAGAGCCACCACGGUGUUCUUGGUCAGUGAAGGGAGGAGCAGGCAGUUGAAAAUCCACAUAGGCAGGAGGGGUGAGGCUGGUCCCCGUUGGGUCUCCCUGCCUCACUUCCCCGGUACAGUCUACUGUCUACAAGUAACCACAUCAAUCCUUGUUCACUCUGACCUCACCUUUUCAAGUCAUUCCAGGGAAGUAGCCACAUUCCAAAAGCUACGAUAGGAGAAAGUAAAAUAAUAUGGAAAUCGGGGCAAGUCAACACGUUUGCCUCCUAUUGGUUAAUUAGGUUCCUUGGAGCAGAAAGAUCUUGGGACCUUAUGGCGCUGAGGUUCCUCCAGGGCAGCCCCACCAGGGUGUGAAACCUCCAAGCUGUGGUGACAAGCUGACCUUCGUUCCAGUCCCAGCUCUGGCCAGCUCUGUGACCUUGGCCCUUCACCCAACCAUUCCAAGCCUCAGUUUCCUCAUCUAUAAAAGGAAACCAGGAGUCCUACUCCCGGCAGCUAGCAGAGAUGCUAACCGGCCGGCCCUGGACAGCUGGGGAAAUUGAACCACAAGUAACGAUCGAGGUCCCCCAGCUCCUGACCGCCUUCUUGUCCCUUUUUUGCUCUGCCGUUUGCUAUUUAAUGUGUGUACUGGACAGCUUAUGGAUUAGGGUGUCCUUGUAAUAGACAGAAAAGAACAAGCAGAGACUCCCGGUGGGGAAGGCCAUGUGAAGACAGAAGCAGAGAUUUGGAGCCAGGGGUCGCCUGGAGUCACCAGGAGCUAGAAGAGGCAGGAAAGAUCUUCCCCUGCAGUCUCUGGAGGGAGUGUAGCCGUGGGACACCUUGACUUUGGACUUCUGACUGCGGGAGAACACUUCCAUCGUGUUAAGCCCGCAGUUGUUUGCUGUGGCCACUCCAGGACAGUCUUACAAGUCUCAUUUCCCCUCAUCCGUACUCCAGCUCAGUUUAAUCCAGAUCAGUGGAUAAUAAACCACUACCCUGCGGGAGCACACCCCACAAAGGGUUUGGGGGCCUCCAAGAAGAAUGACACCCAGCUCCUCGACUUUAAAGAACAGACGCCUGGACUCUUGUUCUGGAAGCCGAUGGCCGCCCAUCUGUGGGAGCUUUCUAUCAGCACACAGUUCCCUUCCCAGGAAACAGCCAGGAGCCUCCGGAGGCUAAAGUGGACGGUGACCUGCCAGUCCCUCUGAAUGCUAGAAAUGCUGUCUCUUGGGGCUGGCCAUGCGGCUGUGGUUUUCUCAGCCAGCUGCUGCCCAGGGCUCCUUCCCUAAAACAGCCUCCAGCCCCAAGCUGUUUGGAGCUGGUCCCUUUCCCUGACUUCAGAUGGAAAGGUCAUCGUGGGCCCAGGGCCAUGCAAGUUUGUACGCGUUGGAAGCAGAUUCUGACCUGAGUCAGUUGCCCAGGAUCUGCCCCUCCCGGAGGAAAGCAUAAAGCAUACCCAAGAGUCAGUCGACUAGUGUAGUGAUUCCCUGCGUCCCUACUGCCCAGCUUCCUCAACGGUGACAUUUUGCCAUUCCUGGUGCAUCUGUUUCCCCCACCCUGCUCUAGCAUAUGUACAUAAUUCUUCCGGACUGUUUUAAAACAAGAGCAGUCUACUCUCCACAAAAAUAGGGCUGUUCUCCACAUUUUGCGAUCUCUUCUUUCCACUUAACAACAUAUCCCAGAUGUCUUCGCCUGUCACGGACUCUCUUCCAAGUCCUGGUUUUCAAGGGCAGCCCAGAAUCCCUUUGUUUGGGCGUACCGCAAAAUUUUCUACUCAUCCCCUAUUGCUGGACAUUCAGAUUAUUUCUGUUCUGCUGGCUGAGUUUCAGAAGGCAGUUCUGCUUAUCCUGGACCUUGCACCAGGCUGAAACCCGACCUGCCUCCUCCAGAUCCCCCAUGUGUUUCCGAGAAGUACGAGCAGGGCUAAAGCGGAGGAACUGGAUUGCUUCCCAGUGCCAUCCCAAUCAAGGCUUCACCGCCUGGCUUGAAGUCUCAAGAUACAGAACACACCCAGACUCAAGUCGGGGUGAAAAACACAUUUCAAAGGCAGGUAACGUAUUGUUUGGGUGACAAGGUGUAACUCUGAAAUAUGGGAGGAUUCUUUUUAAACAAACCCACCAGAGCUCACCCAGCCCAGUAAAGCUUCCUCCUUCAAGGUGCUCACCCCAGAAGGCCAGCUCCUGUUGUGAUAAAACUAUGAUUGCUUGAAAAUAUACAUGUGAACUCCUCUUUUAAAGCUGCCUCCACAGUCUGUGUAAAUAGUUUUUGGAGACACUGUAGGCCAGGAAGUCUUUGUGCUUCAAGGUGGAUUGACAUCUGGAAACAGUCCAUACUGCAGACAGAAGAGUCUACUAUGUCUGGUUUGAGCAGAAACAGAUUUAUUAAGUUACAGCAGGGGCCUCAAAGUGUCUGGCAGGAUUGGAGAACAGAUGUGGACACCAUUUUUGUAUCUUCCUCUUUUUUUUUAAUGAAUUGCCUGUUCAUGUUUUCUGCACAUUUUUCUAUCAGGUUUUGGGUCUUUGUUUCUGUCAAUUCCUAAGAGUUCUUUAUAUAUUAGAGCUAUAAAAGCCCUUUAUCUGUGAUUUAUGUUGAAAAUAUUCUGUCCCAGUUUGUCAGUUGCCUUUGACUUCAUUUAUUGUGUUUUUACCUUGAAAAAAAGUGUAUUUUUGUGAUCAUUUUUUGCAUCUGGAUUUUAAGUGGUGGUUAGAAGACCCCUCCCUACACCCAGGUUAUAAACAAAUUAAUCUGUGUUCUCUUGUA